AGCAUCACAGAAUGCUGGGGAAACUGGAUAGCUGUCUCUUUUUCCACUGCAUUAACUGUGUGCCAAGGGGAAUCUUCUGUGUGUGGUAUUGUGCCUACUUAGGGAAGGGAGGAUUCAGUCAAACUGAGACCAUUGCUCCUACCCUUCUAAUGCACUUUUUGCUCUGUGGUCCAUCUGCGUGUCUCAAUUUCAUUCCCAAAUUUUGGGAUUUUCAAAAAGGUGUUCUUGUAUGUGACUAGUUGCCAAAUGGACUUUCUGU
rnacentral:lncRNA from 1 species